CAGGGACGGGAUGGGGGCCCUGCAGCGGGGCUGCUGUGAGAGGAACACCCCAAAAGCAGAGGCAGAGCCCUGCCCUGCAGUGCUGGCAGUGCCAUGUCACACUCAGUGCUAUGCCAGGCUCAGCCCCGUGCUGCCUGGAGACCAUGAUGCUCCAGGACAGGAGCAGCUCUGCACGGCCUGCUCUGUAUUUCAGGAUGUUCCAGGGAUGUUCCAGGCUGAAGGCAGGAAGGGGACACAGCACCAUGUGGGAAAUGCAGUGGCACAGACCUUGAUGCAUGUUGUGGGUUGGUUGGUCAGAUGAAUGAUGCUGCCUCCUGCAGCUCCCAUUCCCCAUGGCUGUGCCCCAGGAGCUCAAGGCAUUAGGAGCAGAGCCUGUGCAGGGUUCCUGGCAGGACUGGAGCUUUCGUCCAGAUUGCAGAUGCCCAAAAUAUCUGUAUUCUGGGUGAGCAGACUGAGGCUGAAGUGCCCGUGGUUGGCUGAUUGAAGAGGACAUAGGGGAAUGCAGAGAGACAGACAGACAGACAGAGGAAAGGUGCCUGAGCAUGUAUGGCAGCAAUAGGAUGGGGGAUGCCCCUGGGGUCUGCCCCAUCUCCAGGCACGCCUCCCACACCAGCAUGGGAUAUUUUUGCUGUUUUGCUCAGUCUGCUGAAGCCUGAGCUCAGCCCAGGACAUGGUUUUACCCCAGAUUAGCUUGUGCUACCAGCCACUAAAUUUGAUUGCAUUAUGCUAUCAGAUGUUAUUUGUUAUGUUAUGCUUCUCAUUUUAAAUUACAUUCUAAACUGUAUUUCACCUGGCACCUUCAGGAGCCAGGAUUUUGUGAAAUUAAAGUUAAAAUGCCAGUUGAAAUAAGGCAUUUAUAUGAAUGCACACAGCUACUGGUAAAAACCAAGUGUUUGUUCAUAUAUACAUGUUUCUAAUCAGGUUUAUAAUGUAUAUAAUAUAAAAGUUUUUCUACAUAUAAAAUUCACUGGAAACAGGAAACCAAAUUAGUUUACCUUACUAAAGUGGCAUGAAAUAAAGAGCAGUCUACACUGUUGAAAAGAAGGUAGGAUGUGGUUUUUGGAGGACUUUUCUUCCCCUGAGGGCUCGUUCUACCAUGUUUAUGUCUAAAACCUGAUAAUUUUAAAGCCAGCUCACAGGAGACUAAUGGCAUGACUCAUUUAUUUCAUUUCACUUUCAUUUUGCAGAGCUCAGGGUUUGUUUAAGGUGCUCACAUGUCAGCAGCUCAUGCAGACACACCAGUGGAUGCUACAGGGGACCACAGGGUGUAUGCACACUCUGACUCCCCCUGUUUAUCCAUGAGCAGGAGCCACUCCAAUGAGCUGAGUCUGAUUUUAAAAGAUCUUUUGAAUGUUGAACAUGUAAUGAGAUGCUCAGCGCUAUUUUCAAACCAAGACAUGUUCCUGGCUGAUUUACAAAAAGCCACAGUCUCCACUUUUAUGUGGGCAAAUGAUUUUAAAAACUGGGUCCUGGGAUUUUGGGUGCUCAUCGAUUCACCCUCUGACAAGCCUCUGUCUCUGACCUUUCCAUUACCAACUUUUCCAUCUCCAACUGCUUCAUCAUCCUCCUGAGCAUGGGUACACAGCUAAUAAAUCUGAGUCUUUAAUUGCCCUCCCACACUGUGUGGCUUUAUCUGAGCCAUCAUUCCUGUUGCUGUGCUGUGUUGCAUCUUCCUGCUUCCAGGUUUGUGCUGCUGGAGGCAGCAAAAGGAUAGAACUGUUAUUUAGUUUGGGUUUAGGUACAAAUCCCUGCAGUACCACACUCCAUGGCUGCAUGGCCCCACACGAUGUGUCAGACAUGGCUGAGUUUUGGACAGACCCUCUGCUUUUAUCUCAUGCAAGGUCUCAUUUUUUGAUUCUUUAUGCAGCUGAAACCACACAAAAAAUGUGUUUAGGGAAAAAAAUCCCCACAAAUCCACCAUAAAUUCCCCUGCUAAAGCCAUCAGUAAGGGUGAAGGGUCCUGCUGGCCCAGUGGUGCCAGGACCACUGAGGUGGAAAAGCCUCAGGUCCCAAAAACACCCAAUGCCUCUGCAUAAAAGGGAGAUUUAUUGAUUCCCCUCCAGUUUAUCCCCCUGCCAGGAGGUUUCCCACAGCCCUCCAGGAGUGGUGCAGCAGUAUCAGCAGGCACAGGUCUAUCAGGCUGAGCAGAAGCUUUUCCAGGAACUAUCUAGUGAAACACGUGACAGUGCCCAGCUGAAGGGUGAUACGUGACAGGCAUUCACCAGGUUCCUGGCCAGUCAGUUGACUUUGUUAUUCAAACUAUUUUAGUGAUGGGUUUUAAUCCCAGGCUUAAGUUUUGUUCUAUUUUUCUUUUUUUUCCUCCCUCUUCUUUUUUUGCUCUCUGAACAAGGGAAUCUCUACGCUGGCAAGAUUCAGAGAGGCACAAAGGAGGGAAAAACAAGUUUCAGCCAGAAGAGAGGGAAAAAAAAAAAAAAAAGGAUGCUGUUAGCAUUCCCUGUAUUUGAGGGGGUAAAAACAUUUUGCUGUCAACUCUGUUUUAAAGGGUAAGUGACAAGGGCAGCCCAGUUACUAUGCAAAUAAAUCCUGUGCUCAGCC